rnacentral:tRNA from 1 species
AAACAUAUCUUAAACUUAUGUUACGGCCAUAAGAUAGGCAUAAGAAUGCCAUAUGUUUU